rnacentral:snRNA from 1 species
GCUCUCUUCUGCCGAGCUUAUACUAAAAUCAGAAGGGUACAGAGAAGAAGGGCAUGGCCCCUGGGCAAGAAUGACAAGCAAAUUUAUUAAGCAUUCCAUAGUUAA